rnacentral:rRNA from 1 species
AGAAAUUUGUGCUAAUACCGGAUAUUCUCUUUCCCUCGCAUGGGGGGUUGAGGAAAGUUUUUCGGUUUGGGAGGGUCUCGCGGCCUAUCAGCUAGUUGGUGGGGUAAUGGCCUACCAAAGCAACGACGGGUAGCUGGUUUGAGAGAACGAUCAGCCACACUGGAACUGAGACACGGUCCAGACUCCUACGGGAGGCAGCAGUGGGGAAUCUUGCGCAAUGGGCGAAAGCCUGACGCAGCAACGCCGCGUGCGGGAUGAAGGCCUUCGGGUUGUAAACCGCUUUCAGCAGGGACGAAGAUGACGGUACCUGCAGAAGAAGCUCCGGCUAACUACGUGCCAGCAGCCGCGGUAAUACGUAGGGAGCAAGCGUUGUCCGGAUUUAUUGGGCGUAAAGAGCUCGUAGGCGGUUUCGUAAGUCGAGUGUGAAAAAUCUGGGCUUAACCCAGUGGAGCACUUGAUACUGCGAUGACUUGAGUUUGGUAGAGGAGUGUGGAAUUCCU